ACUGAAGGUUGGAAUGAUUGAGUGUGAGAAGUUAUAUUAUUUAUUUUGUUAUGUUACAACCUUAUGUCAUUAGAAAUAAUUUGUAAACUGCUUCAAAUUUUAAGUGCAGUGAGUUUGGUGUUAAAAGAAAAUCAAAAUUUCCUGAUAAUGCCAAGGGAACACUGUCUAGGAGAAUAAACAGCUACCCAGAUGAGAAGUCCUCUUUGAACUGAAGACUAACCUGUGAUCCAUUGUGCGUAUUGGUGUCUUUACUUGGUCAACAGCAUUAUGGUGACUACCAGCAUUCAACAAAUUUCUGCAAAAAGCAGUAAUGGAAGUGAAAGCACUUUAAACCAAGCACAGCCGCAUGUUCUGCUACACUAUCUGAAGCGUUUAAAGAGAACCAAGAGCAUCCACUGAGUAAUGUUCUGCAGUCUCAAAACUAAAUCCACUUUCUGCUUGUCUGCUACCAGAGGACACAGGCAGGGGAAACAUGUUUGCUUGUCUCUGAUGCCUGAAGAUAUAAUUCUUUCUGCAAGAAAUCAUUGUGCAUUAGCAGUAAUACAGCAUUAGCACUAAUGGUGAAGUCUCAGCCUGUUGUGUGAAGCCCUCCUUGUUUGGAGGCUUAAGUGUCCUAAUUGAGCUAAGGCCCAAUCCUGGCUUACUCUAAACCCCGUCUGUGAAACCAGGACUGAGUGUCUGCCAGCACAUGUGCACUGAACAAGGCUGCAGAUAAGGCAAUAAAUUUAAUUUUUUUUUUUUUUAAACGCAUUGCUGUUUGACCUGCAUUUCUCCUGUUUCACAUGCAGGAAACCAUGCAGUCCCAUCUCCCCCCUCUUCCCUGUACGUCACCCACACCUUUCCUUUUUCUGUUUAUGGCUGUCUAACUAUUACAAAGUUCCGAUGCAGACUUUUCAUUCUAGAUGUAGCAACACUCCACUUCUCAUGGGUGUGAAUGAGACCAGGAUUUUACCAGAGGACACUGUGAUACCAAAAACUGCGAGGGGAGAUGGAGCAGGUUUCCUUCUCAAAUACUCAAAAAUAUACUCUUGCUCAAUUUUCUUUUUUAGUUUCCUGUAGUUAACCUCAGCUUCAAAGUGUAAUAUGUGUUCCACGUGAGAGGUGCAGCUUCUUGAUGUUUUUCCUUCUGUUGUCCUGUUCCUUGGUCUCACUUGUCAUUUACAACUUCAGCACUCCUCUAGGUUAAGCCUCCAUAAUUUUAGCUCUUCUACUCAUUUGAUGUUUGAAAUGUGGAGGGCUUUCUUUGGUGUAUUUGUUGGAUAAUAUAGCAAUCUUGCAAUGCAGCCUCUGAUCAACCAAUGUUGGGUAUACUGGUUGAGGAGCAGAACAGGGUAGAAUCAGUCACCUGCAGUUGCAUUUCCAAAACCACAAGCUCAGGCGUCAGAUGGGGCCGUUUGUCUAUGUAUUCUCUUGUGCUCAUCUGCAUUUUGCAUUUAUUCAACCUUGUAAUGCUUCCAUACGUUUACCUUUCCCCCUUAUACUCCUUGUAUUUAUGCCAUUGUCCUGUUUGUUUUGCAGUCAAUUGAAGUUGUAUUGUGCUUCUCACAAUUGUAUCAAAGUAGCUUUUAUUUCCCUUUGUACUUGAGUACUUGUUUUGUUCAUGCAACUCUUUUAGCCUUUUGUGGUGCUUUUUUUUUUUUUUUUGUGCCCUCCUGUAUGCACCUUUUUUCCCAUGCCCCCUUUUUUGUAUUAUGCCUUCAUUGCCCUUUUAUGCAUAUGACUGUCAAUUUUUUUGUUUUGUAUUUUAUCCACAAUUCUUUUUGUAUUCCCUUUUGCCUGGUAUCCUCUUAUGUAUGAAUUGUUCUAGUAUUGUUUCCCCCCAUCAUUUGUGUCCCAUUGUAGUGUUACUUUUAACUUUUGUAUUUAUGGUUUUCAUUUAGUGACUUUACACUUUAUGGCCCUUUUCAUUAGUCUUAAGCUUAAGAGCAUCAAAUGGCACAACUUUUUCUUUCUUUUUAACUAACUGACUAACCCCCACCCCCUUUUCCCCUUCCAAUUUCUGUUCCCUUUAUAGUUCCUCUGCCCUUUUUCAAUUACUAAUUGUAUACAAUUUUAAUUUCUUAAAAUCAGCUUUAAAGCACUACAAAUGUAACUUGAUAUUUGAAUAUUAUGCACUUUUUGUUAUGGCCGUUUCUAUUGACUUUUGUGAAGCUACUUUUGCAAAAUAUUUUGUGCUUUUUGUAUUAUGCCACUUUGGGUUAUGUUUUAUAAUUUCUCAUUUUGUAUAGUAAUUUUACAUAUUCCAUUAUUAUUAUUAUUAUUAUUAUUAUUAUUAUUAUUAUUUAUUUCAUUGUUAUUGUCCCUCUUAUUCAUGCAACUGUCAUUUAUUCCCCUCCAUUACAUCAGUGUGGUUUAAGUUUUGUGCAACUCAGACACUGUGGAUGACCCUUACAUGGAGGUGCACAAGUUCUUCCAUCUGCUAAAAUCACACCUUAAACUGUCAUAACCUGACCUCAUUCUACUGGCUCAGUUCUAAACUGAAUCAAAUUUAAAGCUUUCUGCACUGGCUUUAAGGACUGCCACUGGAUUUGCACCCCUACCUCAAUGCACUUAUUCAAUUGUUACUGCCUGAUGCUGUUAUUUCAUUUAGCCUGUUUGUAUUUCUCACCCUUGAUGGAAUGGCCACUGUUUCGUUGGAUACUUCAAUAAUUGAAUAACUGAAAUUACCUUCUGGAAAUGUGAACUUUUAAGUGGUCAAACUUUUUAGCAUUUUGCAAUAUGUUUUUAUUUACUGGUUGAGCAAUAUUCCCCAAUAGCUCUAUGGUGGAGAAUUUGGACAUCCUACAAUGCAGCCUCAACCAAUGCCAGGUCUACUACAAUAGAAACGGAACAAGGUAGAGUCAGUCAACUGCAGGUGUGUAUCCAAAACCACUCAAGCUCAGAUAUAUAGGGGCGCCCCGCACUCAGUGAGAAUUAAGCAGCAGAGAUGGUUGAUCAUUGGUGCCUUGCCAAGCAUGUUUUAUUGUUUACAUAUUCUCUCUUCUUUUGAACUGUGCUUGUUGUUUGUGUCUGACUUUGAAGACAAACCAGUCUAGAAUUGUUUUUGUUCUACUUGUUGCAUUUUGCUAGUUAGGGUUAACCUGUCUGCAUGAUUUGUUUUUGCUAAUUUUAAUUAAGCCUAGGCCUGUUGUUCGUUGCUUUUUGUUCCUUUUUUUUUUUUUUAAUCUGUUUUUUUUUUUGUUGUGGUUUUUGUGUUAUGCUGAGACUUAUUUUAUUUAUAUUUUAUAUUUUAAAUUUAUAUUUUAUAUAAUUUAGAUUAGAUUAGAUUAGUUUUUUUUGGCAACAGUGACCAUAUGCCCCCUGUUCCUUUUGUAUUCUUCUGUGCUCAUACUCAUUAACUUUUAUUUACCUUUUA